GGCGGAAGUAGCGCGUGUGGCACGCUGAGACUAAACCGGAAGUUUCUAGGAACGCGCAAUGAGACCUUUUCUGCUCUUCUCGGAGAUUUUGCUUUAUUCUCAAGAGCGAAGCGAUGGACGGCGGUGAGGCAGAAUUUUACGCAAUAGUAACCUGACGGAGGCGGCGUUUUGGCUGCCGAAUAGCCGCUUCUUAAAAGGAAUGUUUGGACUGUUUACUUACCAAAAAGAAAGAAACAAAAGCCGGUUUUAAUUCGGUGCCUGUAUGUGUUGUGGAGAACUUGGCCAUCGAUUUCAGUAGGCUUUUUAAAGCGCUUGCCUCAACUCUGCGCCGUUACCCGUAGCAGUUGCUUGUGUUACCAGGAUACUAGAUAGAUAUGCUGCGAGAUACAAGGAAAUUGUUACUGGGUCCCCUCAAAGUGGUAUGUUUACACGGUGUGUGUAUGUAUUGCAGAAAAUCAAGAAUUAUAGCUGUAAAAUGCUUCAAAGGUUCUUUGACUCUUCAGAGAAGUUACAGUUAUUCAGCAGGUGACGUAAAAUCUUUGCGCUCUAUUAUCUCUCCACCUGCCUCUAAAAUCCGCAACAUUGGCAUCAUGG